UUUCUGUCAUUUUUCGAUUCCUCUUUUUUUGUUAUAAAAAUCGCUCUGUAAAUCACUCCUGUUCUCUUGACCUCUGAGGAUUCAGAUAACCUGAUUUGGGAUGCAAAUGCUAAUUUUGCAAAUUAAAUCAGAGAUGGCUUGGCAACUUUGUUCUCGGUUUCCUUUUUAUUUCAGAUAAUUAAUUUUUAUAGUUGGCACCCAAGAUGGAACCUAAGGAAUUCACUUCCUUAAGUGGUCCUCUCCACAGAAUUUUCCCAAGAGCUCUCUGGUCACUGGGAGACUUCUCAAAGAAAGGGCUGUGUUGGAGGCCUGGACUUUAUCCUUAGUCCAAAGGUGGGCGAAGACAGAGUCAAAGUUCUCUUUGAAGUGGUCCUUGAUAACAACCUUGAUCAGCUCAAACAGCCACUGUCGGUCAAAGUCGUCCACCAGGCGGUCGUAGAACACUCGCAGGACCUCAUGGACAAAGAGCCGCACCAUCGUGUGCUUGUGCUCCACCGCUUCCCUGUCGAUGAGCAGGCAGCCCAGAAUGACCCGGGCGAAAUCCCGCAGAAAGGAGCUGGAGACUUCACCAGACUGCUCACAGUCCAUGAAACAAAAAAAAAAGAUGAAAAAUUCCUGGACAAAAUGACUUCCACGUUCCUUUUAGCAAUAAAAUUCCCAGCAAAUGAAAAAUUGUAUUUACAAAGUUGGAGCAUAAGAGAAUUGCUUACUUCUGAUAGAUGCAUUAAUGUUGCCUGAUCUAAGUUACAAUGGAGUUGUCUACAAGUAACAGGUAACUGAGAGAUACUUGAAAGCUCCAGGAGACAGGAUGCUUCAAUUCUCCAUUCCUUGAUGGGUCUCUGAAGGAUUCCCUCAGACAUAGCCACGGGCAGCCGAUCCUCAUCCUACUUCAGAACUCACCACAAGCAUGACUGGAACUCCACUGUUCAUCACCACUCUAGCUAAUAAAUAAUGGCCAGCACAGACCUUGCAUUUUUUCUGACGAACCCGUAAAGCCACAGGUGUCAACCAAUCAAAGAGUUCUUUCAGCAGAGCCUGGUGUUCUUCUC